GGUUCCCUGCUUUGUGCGUGAUGCGCGAAGGCUCGUUUGAGCCAACGUUUCACCCAAGCGGACUGCGAUGCCUGGCGGUGUGCAUGCCUCCUUGCCGAGGAAGCCUGAAGCCGGGCUCAUGAAGCGGUCCCACCUGCUCUAGCAGGUUCAUCGACCUUCCCACACGGCAAAGCGGGGCCUUU
rnacentral:other from 1 species